UGCUCUUUUGGCUCUUAUAUAAGAGCUGGUUCUUAGGAUUUAAGACAAUUAUUCAUAAUUUUGUAAGAAUUAAUGCUAAGAACCUCUUAAAAAUUUCCUAGAGAUGGUCUUAGCUCAACAUAAUGUAUAUAGUAUUUAAUUUAUUUAUAAUAUAUAUAUCACUAAAAACCAGGAAGAAAGAGCGAUUUUCUCUCUCUUCUCUCUCAUAAACUUUUCAGAGAGAGAAAGAUCGCUUAUGUUGCCGUCCGAAGCUCUUUCCGGAGAACGGACGUUCACAUUACAAACCUGCUCUGCAAAUCACAUUUUCUCGACCAAGAUGAUGCAGAAUCAAAUAUGGACAAUAUGGGUUAGUAUUCUCAUUGCGGCCCAAAAGCAAGCCUCAUGGAGUGUUUUUUUUUAUGUCCUACGAUUAAGUCGAUCCGAUUUAUAAACAUAAAAACUUAGCUACAAAAUUCAGAUAUGAAACACUUAUCUCCCCAUUUAAAAAGGGAGGU